CUAGUGAUGGCGACCUUUAAGUAGUUGUUUGCUUAGCCAGCUAGCUACUUCAGUUAGCUACACCUGUGUUGGAAAGUGGGAUGUUUUGCUGAUGUUGGUUGACAUGAGAUGACACGUCUUUGGUUUGUCUAUAGACUGUCAACUGCUAUGGUGUUUUCUAGCUACAAGAACAGAGACAUAAGUUGACUGAAGAUGUUAGAGCUGUGAUGGUGGUGUGUCCCCUGCCUUCAUUGUGACUCCUGUCCACCACCUCUGUCUCCCUGCCCAGUGUGUGCCACCAUUUCACCAUGACCCUGCAUCUUCUCCUGGUCCUGGGGCUCUUUUUGCUGCCUUGUCUGUCAUCCCAUGUUAUCAGCGAGUCCUGUGUUAUAGCCAGCCUGAAAAUGACAAAUCAAACCCAAUGCUUGGAAGUAUAUUUAAGAUGAAAGGGAUGCUUAGGCCUUGCUGUGUUUAUGAGCCUGGCCCUGCUUUGGCUUACUGUAUAUGACCUGUGAUCAUUCUGUCUUUUGGAAAGAGAACUACACAUGCUUUUUCUUGAAGUGUCCCAAUGGCACUAACUGCAAUGAUAUCUCCGUCAAUGACCUGAUAAGGAUACAAGAUAAAAACAUCAGGGAUCUUAAGUGUGACGCUGGACCUACCACUGAGUCUUCAAGUUCUAGUUCCAUAACUUCAUCAGAAAUCUAUCAAAACCCCACUGCUCCUGAAUUGACAGCCAGCAAUAAUGCCAAUCAAAUUACAGACACCUCUGCCCUCAAUGAGACUGACUCUACCUUGCAUUUUCGUGAGGAUAAUGGGCAGGCCCCCAUCUCCACUGCAUUUACUACCAUUACUGCAACACCCAUGACAGCCGCUGAGAAUGACACCUUCAUUCCAAGUAAGACUGUUAGCAAUGCCUCCAGAGGAACUACAGUACCUGACAUACCCCAUAAGUCAACAGUCCAAACCUCUGAGACAACCACUUCAGUAAAGCAGGAACCCAGAACUACAACGGCUCCCUCAGCCCUGACCCCUCCACCAGCCAAUCCACAGAUGACGACAACAGCAUUAUCAACAACAAAUACCACUGCUAUCACCACUGUAGUACCAGUAGCAAUGCUGUUAACUACCACCACCACAACACACCCAACAACAAAACCACCACCACCAACAACUACCACCACAACAGCAAUACCACCACCAACAACUACCACCACAACAGCAAUACCACCACCAACAACUACCACCACAACAAUACCACUAACAACUAUUCCAAACAUAACCACCCCUACCACCAUAGACUCAUCUACAGUUGUGGAGAGGAAUCCAUCACCAACCAUUCUGGCGGUCCCCAGCUCUCAAGCUACCUCCAGAAAUGCCAUAGUCCCUUCGACCUUCACUGUUGAGGUCAGCACAAAAAGGCUUGGAAGUACCAACAGAGCCAUUAUAGACGUUGUUGCCGGGGGGCCUCUGACACGCCAGUUGGUGGACACAAGUAUCCUAUUGGCUGUCCUGUUGUUUGGCCUCGUCUUCUUCCUGGUUAUGGUUGUCCUCUUCCUCACACAAGCCUAUGAGAGCUACAGGACGAAAGACUACACCCAGGUGGACUAUCUCAUCAAUGGAAUGUAUUCUGAUUCAGGGGUUUGAAAGUGACAGUUGAGUGUUUAUUUUUCUAAUUUCUUUAUUGGAACAGGAUUAAUAACUUGUGAGUUAACAGAUUGCCAAUUUUGCACCAGCCUUUGCUGUAGUAUUGUAUAAUUCUUCUGUCUUAAUGGUACUCAUGCCAAUUUCAUAGAUUUUCUUUCUUCAGCUACUGUAUGUAUAAAUUGCUUCAGGCCUGUUGUGGUUUUAUUCAGUCCUUAACCUCUUACGAAGGGCCAACAAAUGCACCUCUUGGUCAUCAGGCCAAGGGCCUGUCCUAUAUUUCUAUGUCUUACAUUUCUACACAAAUGCUUCCAGCCCCAACCCAUAGGACAAGAGACAUAUAUAUGGUUAAGUACGUUUUUUGAAUGUCAUUUGGAUUGUUGUGGGAGAGAGGGUGAAAAGGUUUAUAUGUCCGGUGUUUAUUAUUUUGUUUGUAUCCGUUGUGUAUGUAUGUCAUUUUUCAUGCCUUUUUUUCUUUGUUCAUGACUAGCAUAUUUCCUUUGUUUACCAUUCCUCUCCUUGGAUUAAGAUUGAAUGCCAAAUUGAUCACUGAAGCACAUUAACGUUGAAGCCAAGGGAAUUGUCUAGCCAUUUAUGAAGGAGGAGGAACAGUUUGUAUGAUGACCAAAAGAGACUUUCCAAGGCAGAGGAACUUCUGUCAAGGGUGGAAAUGGGUAUGGGCCUGUUAUGUGCCAAUUUUAAGUCUUACUAAUGCACUGUUAAAUUAUGGUAUUUGCAGUAAAGGGAAAAAAAGUAAGAAUAAAAUACAUUUUCCUUUCAUAUUUCACAAAAGAAAGUUUGAUAAAAUGGCAGUAGGGGUAAAUCAGCACUUUAGCAAUAUGCAUUAGUAGGCUGCUAGUCUUUCAACUGUUAGACUUAAGAUUUCUGCAGGCCUGUGAACAGUAUAUGCUGUGUUUCCCAGGCAGGGAGAAAUAUUGAUGUUUACUACAAGGGCAUAUCAAUCAGUCUGGGUGUACUCAAGGUGGUGCACAUAAAUAUCCCACAUCUGUAGCCCAGUAAUUACUUCCUGGGAAUGUGAUGCACAUGUAAUGUCUGAGAAGGUUUGAAGGUGUGGACUAGGAAUUAAUUGACAGAAGAAAAUAAUGAGAGCAGGGAGGUGGUCCGACACCUUAACGAUGCACUCACCAGUGAUGCAUUUAUUUUUUGGGGGAAAACAAACUAAAAGGGAAAACAACAUGGAUUCCAAUUGUAACAUUUAGGAGAAAACAACUUUUGGUACCUCGAGGCAGUUUUUAAAUGGUGUUUCUCAGCUGCAUUUCUGCUUAGCUCUCUUCAUUCCAGUGCUUUCUAAAAUGUCCUUGUUCAGACAUCUAUUACCUUGGACUUUAUCCCUGUUCCACACACAGUUCUCUUGGGAACUUCCUGGUCCACACAUGCUCUAGUUUCCCAUUUCCUGGAAUAGUUAGCAAUAAAAUAACCUUUUUGACCCUUGCCAAAGAA